UCUUCUCACCUCCUGCCCGUGUGGGCGGAAGAACCUGUCACUGCAAGUGGCAGAGGAGGGAACUUGCCGGGCAAGGGCCUCCCAGCCGUUUCCCGGAGGACUCAGCCCAGGCGCCGGAUUUUCGCUAGUCGCCUUCCUUUUUCUUUUCUUUCCUUUCUUUUUUUUUUUUUUUUUUUUUUUUUUUUUUUUGCCCUAAGCUAGAGCUGAGCCCUGGGUGGGACGCGUCCUGGGUGGGUUUUCUUAAAGUAUCAGUUUGGGUUAGGGCAGCGAGAGAGAGCAGUUCUCCUGGGGCGGAAGGCGGAUGUGAGGAGGACAGCCGAGCAGGGGAGCGGGCCUCCUCCGUUCCCCCGGCGGCCGGCACCGGCUGGAGGCUGUAAACGCGGGGGGAGAGAGGAGCCCUUGUGCGUUAGUGGGUGUGGAGCCGCUAGGUGAGGGUCGCCUGAGGUUCCGCGGGUCAGGGGAAGGGUUCCAGGGUUCGGAGUCAAGUGCGACACCGGCCUGGCUCCAAGCCCAGCCCAGCCAGCUCCUUCCCAGGUCGGCGACCUUGAUGCCCUCGGGGAAGUUGGAAGCUGGCAGGGCUGGAACGGUUCCAAGGCACGGGAGUGUAUUACCUUCUGGAACGGAGUUACUUUUACAUUUGGCUCCACAAGCACUGGGGCUAGAGAGAAGAUGAAGGCCCAGUCCCUGCACCAAUGAGCUUGCUGUCGAAGCAGGAAGAGGUGCCUGCAGUGGCCAUGCGGUGCUCCAGAGCACGGAGGAGGGCUUUUCAGGUCCAGCGGCUCGGAAAUGGGGUAACUCCCAUCCUGGCAGGUAUGUUAAUGAGUGCCACUGGGGGCAGGCGCGUCCUCGCCCUCUGAGGCAGGCGCCCUCAUCGUCCAACAGCACAGCCUAGUGGGCAGGGAUGGCACUGCACUACCCAUGUCUGACUGUAGCUUGGUUGUGUGGUCACUGUUGCACCUUGGGCAAGUUACCUAACCUCUCUGUGCCUCAGGUUCUUCACCUAUAGAAAUAGGUAUAAUAAUAUUUACCUAGUUCGUAGGGCUGCUUUGUUAAAUGUUAAUAAAUGUUGAAGAGUUCAGAACAGGGACUAGCACAGAGUGAGAUACAAAUGUUCACUAUUAUUGCCAUCUUAUAGGUGAGCAAACCAAGGCUCAGAGAAAUGAAGUAGUUUGCUCAAGGUAGCAUAGCUAAUUAAGGUCCCACAAUCGGAGCCAAGUUUGAGUGCGGGGACUAUGGCCUCACAGCUCGUGCUCGUAACCACUGGCUUUGUUUUUACACCUUUGUAAGACUAUUGUUAAGUUUCAGAGGAGAAAAAAAUAUUUUGUCAGAUUUUGGUGUGGAAAACCCAGGUAGCUUAUGUACAGUUUCCUAUAUGGAUGAAUAUGUGGCUUGGAGGAAGCAUGCGUGCCCAGCCUCUGGCUGGGGAGGACCCAGAGUCUCCAUCUGGGGUCCGCAUACGUUGGUUCUUAUCAGCUGGAGUUGGGAUGGAAUGUGGGGGUGAGGCCACUUUCAUAACAAGGCGCCCCGUAUUUGUGUGUUUU